GGUACAUCAAAUAUUCGGCUUGUUAAUGGGCGAUAUCCAGGAAUGGGACGUCUUGAAGUUCUAUACAAUAAUAACUGGGGUUCAUUCUGUUUUCGCCACUGGCAUGAGCAUGAUACUGAUAUUGUAUGUAGAAUGUUGAAAUACGGGCAUACAAAAGGUACUUCCUAUUCCGCACCAAGAAACGGAUCAUCGGUUUUAAUUGGAGCAUUGCAAUGCACGGGCCAUGAAAAUGACAUUGGAAAUUGUAAAGCAGACCUAGACAAGUCGACUUGUACAACUAAAGUAGUUGGAGUUGACUGUACAGGCAAUAUGAAUGUACGACUAGGCGAUGGCCAGCACCCUUUAGAAGGACGAGUGGAUAUUUAUGAUGGACACAGAUGGGGAAGCUUAUGUGAUCAUACCAUUACUGUUGAUGCGGCAAAAGUUAUAUGCAGCACAGCAACAGGAUAUAGGUAGAUUUGUAUAUUAAAUGUGUCCACAUUCUGUUAACUUAUUCUACGUAUUAAUUACGAAAAUAAAUUAUUGUAAAUGAUAUAAAAAAAUUAUUAAGGAAGUUGGAAAAG